AUUGAACGCUGGCGGCAUGCUUUACACAUGCAAGUCGAACGGUAACAGGAUAAGCUGACGAGUGGCGAACGGGUGAGUACUGCAUCGGAACGUGCCCGACCGCGGGGGAUAACGCAGCGAAAGCUGCGCUAAUACCGCAUACGAUAUGCGGAUGAAAGCGGGGGACCGUAAGGCCUCGCGCGAUCUCAUCGGCCGAAGUCAGAGUCGGGAGUUGGUGGGCUAAAGGCUCACCAAGCCAACGAUCUGUAGCUGGGCUGAGUGGACGACCAGCCAAACUGGGAGUGAAACACGGCCCAGACUCCUACGGGAGGCAGCAGUGGGGAAUUGUGGACAAUGGGCGAAAGCCUGAUCCAGCAAUGCCGCGUGCAGGAAGAAGGCCUUCGGGUUGUAAACUGCUUUUGUACGGAGCGAAAAGGCCCUCUCUAAUACAGGGGGUUUAUGACGGUACCGUAAGAAUAAGCACCGGCUAACUACGUGCCAGCAGCCGCCGUAA
rnacentral:rRNA from 1 species